UACGUAGGGUGCAAGCGUUAAUCGGAAUUACUGGGCGUAAAGCGUGCGCAGGCGGUUGUGCAAGACAGAUGUGAAAUCCCCGGGCUCAACCUGGGAACUGCGUUUGAAACUGGGAGGCUAGAGUGCGGCAGAGGGGGGUGGAAUUCCACGUGUAGCAGUGAAAUGCGUAGAUAUGUGGAGGAACACCGAUGGCGAAGGCAGCCCCCUGGGCCAGCACUGACGCUCAUGCACGAAAGCGUGGGGAGCAAACAGG
rnacentral:rRNA from 1 species